AAGUCGUAACAAGGUUUCCGUAGGUGAACCUGCGGAAGGAUCAUUAACAAUUUUCCAAAAUCAAUGACAUCUUUGUGCCGAUUCCAAAGGCCGGAUGUUAUACCCCACAUUUUGUGACGAACUUGUUUUAUAACUUGAAAAAAUUGCUGGAUGCGGUUCGAAGUUUCGGCUCCUACCGCAUUUAAGCUUUUUUUCAUUUUUUUCUCUUUUCUUAAUACCAAAACCCAAUGAAACCUUUAUUGACUGAAACAAGUCAACGGUUCUAACGAACGGUUGAUGAAACUCGAAUGAGAAAAACAACUCUUAACAACGGAUAUCUUGGCUCUC
rnacentral:misc_RNA from 1 species